CUUGUAUAAAAAGGAAGGCGACCCUGAGAAAACUUGGACGUGCCAUGAUUUAGGCUAUAUUAACCAUGGACUGAAUAUUUGUUCAUAUCCAAUUUAAUUUGCCUCUGUUUCUGUAAAACAUGUUCGUGUAUAAAUUCUAAAUGCAUUUGAUUUCUCUUUCCCUCGUUUCAGCAAGUGGUCCCUGCUACGGUGAGGGAAGAAGUCUGCACGAUAACUUGACCGUGAAGGGGUCGAGCGCCGUGUGACAUCCUGGGCAGAAACGUCAACUCGAUUGGGAUUUCAUCAUCUCCAUUGAGAAAGGGAGCCGGCCUAUCACACGUGGACCAUUAAAAUCACCACCUCUUGGUCCUUCCUCUCUCGUGUUCAGCGCAAGGGCCUUCCUGGCUGUGUGACAGAGGGAAUCAUGAGGGACGCCGUGAAUGACUCUACGAUGCCUUACUUCCCCCCCCACCACCUCUUUCCGGCUGCUUCUGCGUAAGUAGGAGAUUUGUAAAAGACAGGAUUUGGUAAAUGGGGGAAGUGGUGAAACAGCGGGAUGUGUCUGUCCUGGGAGAAGAAGAAAAGGAUGAAAGUAGCCAGGGGAUCGAAUAGAAGGAGAAGAGUCCCGAAAGUUACAGAGGGGAGGUAUAAGUAGGAGAAGUGUGUGUGUCCUUUCACCUGGCCAUUCCAAUGAACCUGGACCAAAUCAGAUACACACCUGUCACUCCCCCAACAGAAGAAAACACAGAUGUUCAUGGUGGGAUCUGAGAGCAAUGUGAACAACUACAGGUGCAACUCGUACAGAUGGACGUAACGUAUGAAAUGUGCUGAGUAUAUCCAUGUAUUUAUAUCCUAAUUUGUACACGUGGAAUUGCUGUAUUCAUUUGAUCCUUAUAGAACGUCUCUUCAUAAAAUCUCAAAUGCUAAAAGAUCCUGUUAAAAUACAUGCUUGGUGUGUUUAUUUGGCUCUUUGCUGUCUUUCAUUUAUAGAUGAAUUCUGAAGGCGCUUUAUAACAUAACACUAUAGUUGGCCACGUUAAAUGACAUCCUAUUCAUACGCCUGGUCAUCUACACAGGAUGAAAAGAAUAGGUUACGUCUUAAUGAACUACCAAUUUUGGAGUAAUAGCCUAUCAUGUUAAGAGAUAUGCAUGUAAAAAGAUAUGUUUGGUGAUAUGUCAAAUAGGCUACGAAAGGGAUUUGGCUAUAAACUGCUGAAAAGCCAGUUCACCCAAUCCCAUCGGCUCCACAAGUCACGUAUACCUUCAAGUAUAUUCACUUCUGUCAAAGAAUGCAAAUGACGGCAUGACGAUUUCUACAAGUCAAUUGAUUUUCCCGACAAGCACAUUUUGAUGAGUACACUACACCUGUCAGUUAUACUCAGGCAGUUCUGGUUGGCCCAUACUUUAUGUUUAGUUACAUGUCGGUGUAAGCAUACAGCUAGUAUGGCGAUAGUGGGGGGAGGGGGGGUCUUGAAGACAAAAGCAGCCUAGGCUACACUGUUAUGAGACUUUCUGUCUGGAUUACAAGCUAAUGCAUUUAACAUGAAAAUGCCCAACUCUCCCGAGUCGUGACAUCCCGUCAAGGGAGACGCAUAUUCUCUCAACAAUCCUGUUCGAGUUGUGUGGUUCACAAAUGUACAGUGCGAUGGAAAUAAAGUGUUAAG